GUUAUUGAGAAUGGGUAUAACAAGGAAGAAAUGAAAAUGGUGAAGGAGACCAACAAAUUUGGGUUCCUGUGAUGUACUGAUGUGUGUGGACAUGCUGAAAGUGUCAAUCUAUAGUUUGAAAAGCUACUCGAUGAGGAUCAUAGAAGCAUGUCAAUAA